rnacentral:rRNA from 1 species
UACGGGGGGGCAAGCGUUGUUCGGAAUUACUGGGCGUAAAGGGCUCGUAGGUGGCCAACUAAGUCAGACGUGAAAUCCCUCGGCUUAACCGGGGAACUGCGUCUGAUACUGGAUGGCUUGAGUUUGGGAGAGGGACGCGGAAUUCCAGGUGUAGCGGUGAAAUGCGUAGAUAUCUGGAGGAAUACCGGUGGCGAAGGCGGCAUCCUGGACCAUUACUGACGCUGAGGCGCGAAAGCUAGGGGAGCAAACGGG